rnacentral:rRNA from 14 species
GGCCUACCAAGGCGACGAUCAGUAGCUGGUCUGAGAGGAUGAUCAGCCACACUGGGACUGAGACACGGCCCAGACUCCUACGGGAGGCAGCAGUGAGGAAUAUUGGUCAAUGGACGAAAGUCUGAACCAGCCAUGCCGCGUGCAGGAUGACGGCCCUAUGGGUUGUAAACUGCUUUUAUACAGGAAUAAACCACCGAACGUGUUCGGUGCUGAAGGUACUGUAAGAAUAAGGAUCGGCUAACUCCGUGCCAGCAGCCGCGGUAAUACGGAGGAUGCAAGCGUUAUCCGGAAUCAUUGGGUUUAAAGGGUCCGUAGGCGGACGAUUAAGUCAGGGGUGAAAGUU